AGCAGCCACAAUGUGCACAAAGAGAACUAUUCUUUCGCCUUUUACUAAAGAAUAACGUGUGCAUGCUGUGUUGUGUGGCAUUCAUCAAUUUUUGAAGUCUUCUGUGUGUUAAGAGU